GGGGAUUUAGCUCAGUGGUAGAGCGCUUGCCUAGCAAAGGCAAGGCCCUGGGUUCGAUCCCCAAAAAACUA
rfam:Rattus norvegicus chromosome 9, whole genome shotgun sequence.